rnacentral:hammerhead_ribozyme from 1 species
AUUCAGCUGACGAGUCCCAAAUAAAACGAAACGCGCAUCCUGCAU